rnacentral:rRNA from 1 species
UGGGCGUUUUGAUACUUGAGGGGAGUUAUUUCUAGUACGAGAGGACCGAAAUGAGGGAACCUCUAGUGUGCCUGUUGUAUGUUGAAUGCAACGCAGGGUAGCUACGUUCCUAACUGAUAAGCGCUGAAAGCAUCUAAGCACGAAGCAGGCCCUAAGAUGAGGUAUCUUUUAAGACCCCCCGUAGACUACGGGGUUAAUAGGUUGGCGGUGUAAGCACUGUAAGGUGUUUAGCCUACCAAUACUAAUGGUCA